rnacentral:rRNA from 1 species
GAUGAACGCUAGCGGCAGGCUUAAUACAUGCAAGUCGAGGGGCAGCAUGAUUGUAGCAAUACAAUUGAUGGCGACCGGCAGACGGGUGCGGAACACGUACACAACCUCCCAAUAAGUGGGGAAUAGCCCAGAGAAAUUUGGAUUAAUACCCCGUAACAUAACGAUGUGGCGUCACAUUGUUAUUAUAGAUUUUUCGCUUAUUGAUGGGUGUGCGGCUGAUUAGAUAGUUGGCGGGGUAACGGCCCACCAAGUCUACGAUCAGUAGCUGAUGUGAGAGCAUGAUCAGCCACACGGGCACUGAGACACGGGCCCGACUCCUACGGGAGGCAGCAGUAAGGAAUAUUGGACAAUGGACGCAAGUCUGAUCCAGCCAUGCCGCGUGAAGGAUUAAGGUCCUCUGGAUUGUAAGCUUCUUUUAUAAGGGACGAAAAAAGGCUUUUCUAAGUCGUCUGACGGUACCUUAUGAAUAAGCACCGGCUAACUCCGUGCCAGCCGCCGCAGUAAAAC